rnacentral:rRNA from 1 species
UACGUAGGUGGCAAGCGUUUGUCCGGAAUUAUUGGGCGUAAAGCGCGCGCAGGCGGUCCUUUAAGUCUGAUGUGAAAGCCCACGGCUCAACCGUGGAGGGUCAUUGGAACUGGGGGACUUGAGUACAGAAGAGAAGAGUGGAAUUCCACGUGUAGCGGUGAAAUGCGUAGAGAUGUGGAGGAACACCAGUGGCGAAGGCGACUCUUUGGUCUGUAACUGACGCUGAGGCGCGAAAGCGUGGGGAGCAAACAGG